rnacentral:rRNA from 1 species
AGAGUUUGAUCCUGGCUCAGGACGAACGCUGGAGGCGUGCUUGACACAUGCAAGUCGAACGAUGAAAUGGAGCUUGCUCCAUGGAUUAGUGGCGAACGGGUGAGUAACACGUGAAUAACCUGCCCUUAAUUUUGGAAUAACCCAGGGAAACCUGGGCUAAUACCGGAUAAGUAAACCUGUGGCAUCACAUGGUUUUGGAAAGUUUUUCGAUUAAGGAUGGAUUCGCGGCCUAUCAGCUUGUUGGUGAGGUAAUGGCUCACCAAGGCGACGACGGGUAGCCGGCCUGAGAGGGUGAACGGCCACACUGGGACUGAGACACGGCCCAGACUCCUACGGGAGGCAGCAGUGGGGAAUAUUGCGCAAUGGACGAAAGUCUGACGCAGCGACGCCUCGUGAGGGACGAAGGUCUUCGGAUUGUAAACCUCUUUCAGCAGGGACGAAGCGAAAGUGACGGUACCUGCAGAAGAAGCACCGGCUAACUAUGUGCCAGCAGCCGCGGUAAUACAUAGGGUGCAAGCGUUGUCCGGAUUUAUUGGGCGUAAAGAGUUCGUAGGCGGUUUCUCGCGUCGGAUGUGAAAACUCAGGGCUCAACCCUGAGCCUGCAUUCGAUACGGGGAAACUUGAGGACGGCAGGGGAGACUGGAACUCCUGGUGUAGCGGUGGAAUGCGCAGAUAUCAGGAAGAACACCAAUGGCGAAGGCAGGUCUCUGGGCCGAUUCUGACGCUGAGGAACGAAAGCGUGGGGAGCAAACAGGAUUAGAUACCCUGAUAGUCCACGCCGUAAACGAUGGACGCUAGGUGUGGGGAACAUUCCACGUUCUCUGCGCCGCAGCUAACGCAUUAAGCGUCCCGCCUGGGGAGUACGACCGCAAGGUUUAAACUCAAAGGAAUUGACGGGGGCCCGCACAAGCAGCGGAGCAUGCGGCUUAAUUCGAUGCAACGCGAAGAAC